rnacentral:rRNA from 1 species
AGAGUUUGAUCCUGGCUCAGAAUCAACGCUGGCGGCGCGCUUAACACAUGCAAGUCGCACGAGAAAGCGGGAGCGAUCUCGCAAGUAAAGUGGCGUACGGGUGAGUAACACGUGGGUGAUCUACCUUUUAGUGGGGAAUAACGCUGGGAAACCGGCGCUAAUACCGCAUAAGCUCGAGAGAGGAAAGCAGCAAUGCGCUGAAAGAGGAGCCCGCGGCCGAUUAGCUAGUUGGGAGGGUAAAAGCCUACCAAGGCAAAGAUCGGUAGCCGGCCUGAGAGGGCACACGGCCACACUGGCACUGAAACACGGGCCAGACUCCUACGGGAGGCAGCAGUGGGGAAUCUUGCACAAUGGGGGCAACCCUGAUGCAGCGACGCCGCGUGAGCGAUGAAGCCCUUCGGGGUGUAAAGCUCUUUCGGCAGGGACGAUAAUGACGGUACCUGCAGAAGCAGCUGCGGCUAACUACGUGCCAGCAGCCGCGGUAAUACGUAGGCAGCGAGCGUUGUUCGGAGUUACUGGGCGUAAAGGGUGUGUAGGCGGUUUUCUAAGUUUGGUGUGAAAUCUCCCGGCUCAACCGAGAGGGUGCGCCGAAAACUGGGAGACUAGAGUGCGGGAUGGGAGAGUAGAAUUCCUGGUGUAGCGGUGAAAUGCGUAGAUAUCAGGAGGAAUACCGGUGGUGUAGACGGCUCUCUGGACCGCCACUGACGCUGAGACACGAAAGCGUGGGUAGCAAACAGGAUUAGAUACCCUGGUAGUCCACGCCCUAAACGAUGCAUAUUUGGUGUAGGUCAUUCAGUUGAUCUGUGCCGGAGCUAACGCGUUAAAUAUGCCGCCUGGGGAGUACAGUCGCAAGGCUGAAACUCAAAGGAAUUGACGGGGGCCCGCACAAGCGGUGGAGCAUGUGGUUCAAUUCGACGCGACGCGAAGAACCUUACCUGGGCUCGAACGGCUGGUUAACGGCAUUGGAAACAGUG